rnacentral:rRNA from 1 species
GAUGAACGCUGACAGAAUGCUUAACACAUGCAAGUCAACUUGAAUUUGGGUUUUUAACUUAGGUUUGGGUGGCGGACGGGUGAGUAACGCGUAAAGAACUUGCCUCACAGCUAGGGACAACAUUUGGAAACGAAUGCUAAUACCUAAUAUUAUGAUAAUAGGGCAUCCUAUAAUUAUGAAAGCUAUAAGCGCUGUGAGAGAGCUUUGCGUCCCAUUAGCUAGUUGGAGAGGUAACGGCUCACCAAGGCGAUGAUGGGUAGCCGGCCUGAGAGGGUGAUCGGCCACAAGGGGACUGAGACACGGCCCUUACUGCUACGUGAGGCAGCAGUGGGGAAUAUUGGACGAUGGACCAAGAGGCUGAUGCAGCAAUUCUGUGUGCACGAUGAAGUUUUUCGGAAUGUAAAGUGCUUUCAGUUGGGAAGAAAGAAAUGACGGUACCAACAGAAGAAGUGACGGCUAAAUACGUG